AGUGAACGCUGGCGGUAGGCCUAACACAUGCAAGUCGAACGGCAGCACAGUAAGAGCUUGCUCUUACGGGUGGCGAGUGGCGGACGGGUUAGGAAUACAUCGGUAUCUACUUUUUCGUGGGGGCUAACGUAGGGAAACUUACGCUACUACCGCAUACGACCUACGGGUGAAAGCAGGUGAUCUUCGGACCUUGCGCGAUUGCAUGAGCCGAUGUCGGAUUAGCUAGUUGGCGGGGUAAAGGCCCACCAAGGCGACGAUCCGUAGCUGGUCUGAGAGGAUGAUCAGCCACACUGGAACUGAGACACGGUCCAGACUCCUACGGGAGGCAGCAGUGGGGAAUAUUGGACAAUGGGCGCAAGCCUGAUCCAGCCAUACCGCGUGGGUGAAGAAGGCCUUCGGGUUGUAAAGCCCUUUUGUUGGGAAAGAAAAGCAGCAGGUUAAUACCCCGCUGUUCUGACGGUACCCAAAGAAUAAGCACCGGCUAACUUCGUG
rnacentral:rRNA from 1 species